UAUUAACUGAUUAAGUCGUGUUUUAGAUUGUUCUUGAAAACCUAAUCAGUCACAGCUGCACAGUGAACCCAUUGAUCUUUCACAGCCGACAGCCGCCCCCCUCUCUUGCAGGUACUGUGUACCCCCUCUAAAUCUUUUAGGGGUACGCAGUACCCGACCAUACCCCCCUACUUUCACCCCUGAGGUUUUCCAGUCCUGGUAUUAACUGCAAGAAUAUCUUAUUUGAAAAAAAAAAGAAAGAAAAUGACAUAUCCUUUGAUUAACAACAUACAUUUUUUUUCAAAUGAUUACUUUUUUAAUAAAAAUCCAUCACGGAAAUAGAAAAUUUUCUUUGCUUAGAUGUCACUAUUUCUCAUGUAACCUGCAAUAAUCUUUUCCAUUUCAGUUCUAGCAAUGGAAAAACACGAUCAAACUGUGCAAUACUCUGUUUCUGUUUAAAAUGCACGAACAGGCGAGCCAACAGUCAGCCAUACCCUCUUGGAUCGGAUGCAACAGGAAGCUGCAAUACGUGAUUUCAAUGUGAAGCAUUUUUCAUGUAAACACGACAUACACUUCUGGUCAAAAUCAAUCUUCAGAUGUUUAAUUUAUCAGGAUGACCACCAAAGCCUUUAAAAGUCUUCUAACAAACAUGUUAGUACUGGAACUCUCUGUAUUUAUUCCAUUUUAUUCCUGUAUUGUCUAUGUUAGGAAGGUUAAUCAGUUUAAAAGAUAACACCGCCUUUAAAAUUCACAAAACCCAGUGAUCCUGGUAUUGAUUGCUGAAGUUUCCUUUAGGUUGAUUGAUGCGUCUCAUUAGGAGUGAUUGAUAAGACUUCACUAGCACCAUUUGUUCUGCCUCCCUAUUUUUUCACAUAUUGAUAAAGGUAGCUUUAAGGUAUUUUCUUAAGAUUCUACGUAAUAGAUCAACAGAAAGUAGUGCAUAAUUGUAGAGUGGAAGAAAAAUGAUACAGGGUUUUAUUUUGUAGAAAACAUUCUGAAAAGUGUGGCUUGCAUUUGUUUAUACCGCCUCCUUGACUCAGUCCUUUGUACAACUACCAUUUUUUGCAGUUACAGCUGCAGAUCUUUUAAAGAAUAUCUCUUCCAGCUUUUCACACAUAGUGAUUGAAUUAAUUAUCCAUUACUAUAUUCUGCUUUGGAUGUAGGUCUAGAUUUUGACAUAAAUAUGAACAUGAAAAAGAAACAUGAAAAAGGUCUUACAGUUUUAUCUUAUUAAAAGAAAUACAAACAGCUUCAUUAAUCUUUUAGAUCUAUUCACAGGGAAAAGAGCUUAGUCAUUUUAAUGAAAAAGCAAUUUCCAGCUUUCAGCUUUUAAUAAAAAUUGCUGGAUGUUUGGGAUCCUUUUUACAAUAAAAUUAUAAUAGAAGCAAAAAGAGUUGUCACAAGAUAAACUUUGUGUUCUUUCAUUUUUCAUUUUGUCAAUUUAAUUGGUUUUAAUCGUUUUUGAAAGGAUAUUAAAUAAUGCCCUAAAAAGUGAAAAAUAAAAAUGAAAACCAUUCAUAAUUGUUCUUCUUUUUAACAUUUACUACAUUGUGUUGGUCUGUAACAUACUGUACAAUCCCAAUACAUCAAGGAUUGUCUUCCAACAUGAAAAUGUGGAAGACAUUUUUUUUAUAUUUACAAGUUACUGUAUAAUUUCCACAGGAGGCUUUUGUUUUUAAUAAGCCAUUUUAAAACAGAUGAAAUAACUAGAGAAUAAAAUUUCUCAUAUUUUAGUGUCACUUCAACAGAAGUGGUUUACCAUAAUCAGUCAUUUUGAUUGAAUAACUGCUGUAAUUUCUGUUUUCAUUGAUAUACAGCUUCAGCUGAACUCCUACAAGCACACGCUGCUAUGAAAAUGUUUGUGCAGAGCUUUGUGUGUUGCUAAGCUACAUCUCCGCCACUCUGCAAGAUUGGCUUAGUGGUGCAGAGAGGUUGGAUGGCAGAGUAGCACAGAGUUUAAUUCUGCUUCAUUGUGCUGCUGAGUGUUGAUGCUUCUUACCUGCACUUAUCUGUCAUAACUCAUGAACUCAAAACUUUUAAAUGUAUGUGCAUUUCUGCGAUGAAAAAUAAAAAACCCCAACAGA